CGUUGAAACACCAAUUCCCGUAAGAUCGCCGAAGUUAAGCAACGUCGAGCCUGGUUAGAACCUAGAUGGGUGGGCGUUUGAGAGUACCAUGUGAUGUAA